AGACAUAUAGUAUAAAGGUAAUACACAUUACUACGGAUAAUGUUAUAUAGGUUCGAUUCCUAUUAUGUCUU